CAAUCCCCAGCACCACAUAAAAAUAAAUAAAAUAAAGGUGUUUUGUCAAACUACAACUAAACAAUAAAUUAAAAAAAAAUACAAAAUAGGGCUGGGGAUGUGGCUCAGUGGUCUAGUGCCCCUGAGUUCAAUUCCCUGGUACCCACCCUCCCCCAAAUAUAUAUAUCAUCAAAUUGGUCAGGCAUGACUUUUGCUGGUCACUCUGCCCCUUUUGCUCACUUAAAAUCACCUCUAUUCUCUGACCUAGGGAGACUUGUACAUGCCUGGUUUUUUCUAUUCACAAAGAUUAAGAGAUUUAGAAUGGAGUCUUUUGGGGAGGUAGUUGUUAAAGUUGGGGCAUUUGAUGCCUACAUAGAGUCCUUCACAGGAGAAAUAGGAUUUGCUUUUUAUCCCCUCCUUCCCCCACUGCUCUUGGGAGAAGAAGCUCUUGAAAGUGCUUGUGUGCCUGUAUAAAACCACCACUUUAUCCCCAUUCUCCAUGGUCUAGAGAGGCACAUAUGAAAGUCUGCUUCCAGAGCUAGGAGGUUCAGGAUGCAGUCCCUAAACUUCCUAGGUGUAAAGUUAGAUGCUUGAUAUAAGGGGAAAAUGGAUUGUUUUUUAAGUAACCUCUCUACACUGCUCCUGGGGAAUGAAGUCCUUGAAAGUGCUGUGCUCUGUUUAAGUCUCUUGAUUUUUUCCCCUGUGAUCUGGAGAAACUUGUGUGUAUUCUCCUCUGCUCCCAGCGUGAAGCCCAAAUCCUCUUCUCCAUAGGGAGAAGCCAGAAUGUUGGGGAUUACUUUUCCAGUUUUAGGUGCUGUGCCUAGAGCUGGGCUCCUGGCCUCAUGUUCCUCUUCUUUUCCUGUCCUGUCUUACAUGUGAUUGUUUUCUCAAAUUGCCCAGUGGGUAGGAGCAAACAGCUACUCCAGCUUUCUCUCAGAGGGAAUUGAUCCCAUGAGUAGAGCUUUUAUGUGAUGCACUUGUGGGUGGACGGAGAGCCAGAGCUGCUGCUUCUACAAUGUUGCUGAUGUCACUUGUUGAUCUUCUCUUAUUUUAGGUUCCUUUUCCCAAUUUUAAUUGGUAAAGGACUACGUGUUCUAUAUGUUAAGAAAAAUGUUUCCUGUACUUAUUUUCCCUUUGAAAACAUUCCCAUUCCAUUAUUAGCU
rnacentral:lncRNA from 1 species